rnacentral:rRNA from 1 species
CAGCAGCCACGGUAAUACGAAGGGGGCUAGCGUUGUUCGGAAUUACUGGGCGUAAAGCGCACGUAGGCGGAUACUUAAGUCAGGGGUGAAAUCCCGGGGCUCAACCCCGGAACUGCCUUUGAUACUGGGUAUCUCGAGUCCGGAAGAGGUGAGUGGAAUUCCGAGUGUAGAGGUGAAAUUCGUAGAUAUUCGGAGGAACACCAGUGGCGAAGGCGGCUCACUGGUCCGGUACUGACGCUGAGGUGCGAAAGCGUGGGGAGCAAACAGGAUUAGAUACCCCAGUAGUCCCUGUCUCUUAUAC